GGUUAAGCGACUAAGCGUACACGGUGGAUGCCCUGGCAGUCAGAGGCGAUGAAGGACGUGCUAAUCUGCGAUAAGCGUCGGUAAGGUGAUAUGAACCGUUAUAACCGGCGAUUUCCGAAUGGGGAAACCCAGUGUGAUUCGUCACACUAUCAUUAACUGAAUCCAUAGGUUAAUGAGGCGAACCGGGGGAACUGAAACAUCUAAGUACCCCGAGGAAAAGAAAUCAACCGAGAUUCCCCCAGUAGCGGCGAGCGAACGGGGAGCAGCCCAGAGCCUGAAUCAGUGUGUGUGUUAGUGGAAGCGUCUGGAAAGGCGCGCGAUACAGGGUGACAGCCCCGUACACAAAAAUGCACAUGCUGUGAGCUCGAUGAGUAGGGCGGGACACGUGGUAUCCUGUCUGAAUAUGGGGGGACCAUCCUCCAAGGCUAAAUACUCCUGACUGACCGAUAGUGAACCAGUACCGUGAGGGAAAGGCGAAAAGAACCCCGGCGAGGGGAGUGAAAAAGAACCUGAAACCGUGUACGUACAAGCAGUGGGAGCACGCUUAGGCGUGUGACUGCGUACCUUUUGUAUAAUGGGUCAGCGACUUAUAUUCUGUAGCAAGGUUAACCGAAUAGGGGAGCCGAAGGGAAACCGAGUCUUAACUGGGCGUUAAGUUGCAGGGUAUAGACCCGAAACCCGGUGAUCUAGCCAUGGGCAGGUUGAAGGUUGGGUAACACUAACUGGAGGACCGAACCGACUAAUGUUGAAAAAUUAGCGGAUGACUUGUGGCUGGGGGUGAAAGGCCAAUCAAACCGGGAGAUAGCUGGUUCUCCCCGAAAGCUAUUUAGGUAGCGCCUCGUGAAUUCAUCUCCGGGGGUAGAGCACUGUUUCGGCAAGGGGGUCAUCCCGACUUACCAACCCGAUGCAAACUGCGAAUACCGGAGAAUGUUAUCACGGGAGACACACGGCGGGUGCUAACGUCCGUCGUGAAGAGGGAAACAACCCAGACCGCCAGCUAAGGUCCCAAAGUCAUGGUUAAGUGGGAAACGAUGUGGGAAGGCCCAGACAGCCAGGAUGUUGGCUUAGAAGCAGCCAUCAUUUAAAGAAAGCGUAAUAGCUCACUGGUCGAGUCGGCCUGCGCGGAAGAUGUAACGGGGCUAAACCAUGCACCGAAGCUGCGGCAGCGACACUAUGUGUUGUUGGGUAGGGGAGCGUUCUGUAAGCCUGUGAAGGUGUGCUGUGAGGCAUGCUGGAGGUAUCAGAAGUGCGAAUGCUGACAUAAGUAACGAUAAAGCGGGUGAAAAGCCCGCUCGCCGGAAGACCAAGGGUUCCUGUCCAACGUUAAUCGGGGCAGGGUGAGUCGACCCCUAAGGCGAGGCCGAAAGGCGUAGUCGAUGGGAAACAGGUUAAUAUUCCUGUACUUGGUGUUACUGCGAAGGGGGGACGGAGAAGGCUAUGUUGGCCGGGCGACGGUUGUCCCGGUUUAAGCGUGUAGGCUGGUUUUCCAGGCAAAUCCGGAAAAUCAAGGCUGAGGCGUGAUGACGAGGCACUACGGUGCUGAAGCAACAAAUGCCCUGCUUCCAGGAAAAGCCUCUAAGCAUCAGGUAACAUCAAAUCGUACCCCAAACCGACACAGGUGGUCAGGUAGAGAAUACCAAGGCGCUUGAGAGAACUCGGGUGAAGGAACUAGGCAAAAUGGUGCCGUAACUUCGGGAGAAGGCACGCUGAUAUGUAGGUGAAGUCCCUCGCGGAUGGAGCUGAAAUCAGUCGAAGAUACCAGCUGGCUGCAACUGUUUAUUAAAAACACAGCACUGUGCAAACACGAAAGUGGACGUAUACGGUGUGACGCCUGCCCGGUGCCGGAAGGUUAAUUGAUGGGGUUAGCCGCAAGGCGAAGCUCUUGAUCGAAGCCCCGGUAAACGGCGGCCGUAACUAUAACGGUCCUAAGGUAGCGAAAUUCCUUGUCGGGUAAGUUCCGACCUGCACGAAUGGCGUAAUGAUGGCCAGGCUGUCUCCACCCGAGACUCAGUGAAAUUGAACUCGCUGUGAAGAUGCAGUGUACCCGCGGCAAGACGGAAAGACCCCGUGAACCUUUACUAUAGCUUGACACUGAACAUUGAGCCUUGAUGUGUAGGAUAGGUGGGAGGCUUUGAAGUGUGGACGCCAGUCUGCAUGGAGCCGACCUUGAAAUACCACCCUUUAAUGUUUGAUGUUCUAACGUUGACCCGUAAUCCGGGUUGCGGACAGUGUCUGGUGGGUAGUUUGACUGGGGCGGUCUCCUCCUAAAGAGUAACGGAGGAGCACGAAGGUUGGCUAAUCCUGGUCGGACAUCAGGAGGUUAGUGCAAUGGCAUAAGCCAGCUUGACUGCGAGCGUGACGGCGCGAGCAGGUGCGAAAGCAGGUCAUAGUGAUCCGGUGGUUCUGAAUGGAAGGGCCAUCGCUCAACGGAUAAAAGGUACUCCGGGGAUAACAGGCUGAUACCGCCCAAGAGUUCAUAUCGACGGCGGUGUUUGGCACCUCGAUGUCGGCUCAUCACAUCCUGGGGCUGAAGUAGGUCCCAAGGGUAUGGCUGUUCGCCAUUUAAAGUGGUACGCGAGCUGGGUUUAGAACGUCGUGAGACAGUUCGGUCCCUAUCUGCCGUGGGCGCUGGAGAACUGAGGGGGGCUGCUCCUAGUACGAGAGGACCGGAGUGGACGCAUCACUGGUGUUCGGGUUGUCAUGCCAAUGGCACUGCCCGGUAGCUAAAUGCGGAAGAGAUAAGUGCUGAAAGCAUCUAAGCACGAAACUUGCCCCGAGAUGAGUUCUCCCUGACCCUUUAAGGGUCCUGAAGGAACGUUGAAGACGACGACGUUGAUAGGCCGGGUGUGUAAGCGCAGCGAUGCGUUGAGCUAACCGGUACUAAUGAACCGUGAGGCUUAACCUU
rnacentral:rRNA from 1 species